GACGAACGCUGGCGGCGUGCUUAACACAUGCAAGUCGAACGGAAAGGCCCUGCUUUUGUGGGGUGCUCGAGUGGCGAACGGGUGAGUAACACGUGAGUAACCUGCCCUUGACUUUGGGAUAACUUCAGGAAACUGGGGCUAAUACCGGAUAGGAGCUCCUGCUGCAUGGUGGGGGUUGGAAAGUUUCGGCGGUUGGGGAUGGACUCGCGGCUUAUCAGCUUGUUGGUGGGGUAGUGGCUUACCAAGGCUUUGACGGGUAGCCGGCCUGAGAGGGUGACCGGCCACAUUGGGAAUGAGAUUCCGCCCAGACUCCUACGGGAGGGAGGAGUGGGGGAUUAUGCACCAUGGGCGGAAGCCUUAUGCAGCAACGCCGCGUGCGGGAUGACGGCCCUCGGGUUGUAAACCGCUUUCGCCUGUGACCAAGCGUGAGUGACGGUAAUGGGUAAAGAAGCACCGGCUAACUACGUG
rnacentral:rRNA from 1 species